rnacentral:rRNA from 1 species
AUGCAAGUCGAGCGGAUGACGGGAGCUUGCUCCUUGAUUCAGCGGCGGACGGGUGAGUAAUGCCUAGGAAUCUGCCUGGUAGUGGGGGACAACGUUUCGAAAGGAACGCUAAUACCGCAUACGUCCUACGGGAGAAAGCAGGGGACCUUCGGGCCUUGCGCUAUCAGAUGAGCCUAGGUCGGAUUAGCUAGUUGGUGGGGUAAUGGCUCACCAAGGCGACGAUCCGUAACUGGUCUGAGAGGAUGAUCAGUCACACUGGAACUGAGACACGGUCCAGACUCCUACGGGAGGCAGCAGUGGGGAAUAUUGGACAAUGGGCGAAAGCCUGAUCCAGCCAUGCCGCGUGUGUGAAGAAGGUCUUCGGAUUGUAAAGCACUUUAAGUUGGGAGGA